rnacentral:lncRNA from 1 species
GGUACGAGGCUGGUGACGGUCGGGGUCAUGGUGAUGGUGAUGGUCAUGGAGAUGGUCAUGGUGAUGGCCAUGGUCAUGGUCAUGGAGAUGAUCAUGGUCACGGAGAUGGUCAUGAUGAUAGUCAUGGAGAAGGUCAUGGAGAUGGUCAUGGAGAUGGUGAUGGCCAUGGCCAUGGUCAUGGAGAUGGUCAUGGUCAUGGUGAUGAUCACGGAGAUGGUCAUGGUCAUGGCGAUGGUCAUGGUCAUGGUCAUGGGGAUGGUCAUGGUCAUGGUCAUGAUGAUGGUCACGGAAAUGGUCGUGGUGUGGCGAUGGUCAUGGUCAUGGUCAUGGUCAUGGAGAUGGCCAUGGAGAUGGUCAUCAUCGUGGUCAUGGAGGUGAUCGUGGUCAUGGUCAUGGUCAUGGAGAUGGUCAUGGAGAUGGUGAUGGUCAUGGUCAUGGUCACGGUCAUGGUCAUGGAGAUGGCCAUGGAGAUCGUCAUGGUCAUGGUCAUCAUCAUGGUCAUGGAGAUGGUCGUGGUCAUGGUCAUGGUCAUGGUGAUGCUCUUGAAGAUGGUCAUGGUCAUGGAGACGAUCAUGGAGAUGGUGAUGGCCAUUGUCAUAGUCAUGGUUGUGGUGAUGGCGAUGGUUAUGGUGAUGGUCAUGGUCAUGGAGAUGGCCAUGGAGAUGGUCAUGGUGAUGGUGAUGGUCAUGGUCGUGGUCAUGGUCAUCAUCAUGGUCAUGGAGAUGGUCGUGGUCAUGGUGAUGGUCAUGGUCAUGGAGAUGGUCACGGAGAUGGUCGUGGUGUGGCGAUGGUUAUGGUGAUGGUCAUGGUCAUGGAUAUGGCCAUGGAGAUUGUCAUGGAGAUGGUCAUGGUCAUGGUGAUGGUCAUGGAGAUGGUCGUGGUGACGGCGAUGGUCAUGGUGAUGGUCAUGAUGAUAGUCAUGAAGAUGGUCAUGGAGAUGGUGAUGGCCAUGGUCAUGGUCAUGGUCAUGGAGAUGGCCACGGUCAUGGUGAUGCUCAUGAAGAUGGUCAUGGUCAUGGGGAUGGUCAUGGAGGUGGUCAUGGCCAUGGCCAUGGUCAUGCUCAUGGCCACGCUCAUGGUCAUGGCGCCACCACCACGGCCACAGCCACUGGGGGCGGUGGGAGGACGCGAGCCACCCGUGGUGAUGACGUCACCGAUGACGUCACCCGGGGUGUCACCCCCCAGGUUUCCCGGCGAAGCUCUGCAGCCGCCCCGAGCUGGUGAAGUUUGUCACCAUGAUCAUCUUCCGCUGCUCCGCGCAGCACGCCGCC